rnacentral:rRNA from 1 species
AGAGUUUGAUCCUGGCUCAGGACGAACGCUGGCGGCGUGCUUAACACAUGCAAGUCGAACGAUGAAGCCCUUCGGGGUGGAUUAGUGGCGAACGGGUGAGUAACACGUGGGCAAUCUGCCCUUCACUCUGGGACAAGCCCUGGAAACGGGGUCUAAUACCGGAUAACACCUGCCUGGGCAUCUGGGUGGGUUAAAAGCUCCGGCGGUGAAGGAUGAGCCCGCGGCCUAUCAGCUUGUUGGUGAGGUAGUGGCUCACCAAGGCGACGACGGGUAGCCGGCCUGAGAGGGCGACCGGCCACACUGGGACUGAGACACGGCCCAGACUCCUACGGGAGGCAGCAGUGGGGAAUAUUGCACAAUGGGCGAAAGCCUGAUGCAGCGACGCCGCGUGAGGGAUGACGGCCUUCGGGUUGUAAACCUCUUUCAGCAGGGAAGAAGCGAGAGUGACGGUACCUGCAGAAGAAGCGCCGGCUAACUACGUGCCAGCAGCCGCGGUAAU